rnacentral:tRNA from 1 species
AGGCGCGUAGCUCAGUUGGUUAGAGCACUACUAUGACAUAGUAGGGGUCACUGGUUCGAAUCCAGUCGCGCCUACCA